GCUCACAUCCUCUCCGUCGGCCCGGCCAAGGAGGAGAAGAAGGACGACAAGAAGGGCGGGGACAAGAAAGAGGGCGCUAAGGACGGCGACAAGAAGACGGAGGCCAAGCCGCUGUUGGUUUACCCGCCGUGGGUCGCGCAGUACCCCUACACUCCACCACAGUACCCCUACACUCCACCGCAGUACUUCGUCCGCAGCGCCGAGGAGGACCCCAACUCCUGCGUCAUCUGCUGAUGGCGACGCCGAUCGGGAGGUCCCGGUUUUUUCGUAGCUGGCCUGCCUGCCUACCUCGAGCUCCAGCGUCAGUGAUGGCCGAUCGGGCCCCCGGGGGUGUUGGUGGUUGGCUGCUGUGCUCAUC
rnacentral:lncRNA from 1 species